rnacentral:rRNA from 1 species
AGCCUAACACAUGCAAGUCGAACGAUAUAGUGGCAGACGGGUGAGUAACGCGUGGGAAUUUACCUUUCGGUACGGAAUAGCUCAGGGAAACUUGGAUUAAUACCGUAUACGUCCUCAGGGAGAAAGAUUUAUCGCCGAGAGAUGAGCCCGCGUUGGAUUAGCUAGUUGGUGAGGUAAAGGCUCACCAAGGCGACGAUCCAUAGCUGGUCUGAGAGGAUGAUCAGCCACACUGGGACUGAGACGCGGCCCAGACUCCUACGGGAGGCAGCAGUGGGGAAUAUUGGACAAUGGGCGCAAGCCUGAUCCAGCCAUGCCGCGUGAGUGAUGAAGGCCUUAGGGUUGUAAAGCUCUUUCAACGGUGAAGAUAAUGACGGUAGCCGUAGAAGAAGCCCCGGCUAACUUCGUGCCAGCAGCCGCGGUAAUACGAAGGGGGCAAGCGUUGUUCGGAAUCACUGGGCGUAAAGCGCACGUAGGCGGAUUGUUAAGUUAGGGGUGAAAUCCCGGGGCUCAACCUCGGAACUGCCUCUGAUACUGGCAAUCUUGAGUUCGGGAGAGGAGUGUGGAACUCCGAGUGUAGAGGUGAAAUUCGUAGAUAUUCGG